GAAUUUCUCCAGCGAGGGUGGCGCUGGGGUCCGUCAUUCGACUACCACUGAGCGCCCUGCGGGGGUGCAGGGACAGCAGGCACUCAUCUACUGAUGAGGAAACUGUCCCGUAAUCUAUAUCCUCAGACUCUCAGACGUGCCUUCAGCUAGAUGAGUCCUGCAAAAAAAGGUCUCUUCCACCAUCUACCAUGUGGGGAGAGCUGGAGCUCUAACAGCCUAUUCAGGAGAUUUCCCUCAGUCAUGUUUAUUUUGGGUCUACCCUUCCAGAGAGCUGCUGGUUUUCAAGCCUUCUGAAUUUCUACAGCGUGAGCCUGGUUGGACCACCCCGCACGUCCACCAGCGCCAACUCAGUAUUUGGCUUUUCCCUAAAUCGGUACUAGCUCCUCGAUUUCCACCCACUUCUAGCUUCCGUAUGCCAUUGCCUCCUCUUUCACGAUCCUACUUGUGGUUUUGUGUUUUAUUUACUUAUUGGCCACACCACGCAGAAUGUGGGAUCCUAGUUCCCCAAUUAGGGAUCGAACCCUGGGCCCCCAGCAAUGGAAGCUUGGAGUCCUAACCACCGGACUGCCAGGGAAUUCCCAAGGGUUAGUGUUUCAAACGCUCCCUGUGGUUUCAGUGGGUUUCUGGACCAAGUAAGAUGCAUGUGUUCAGUCCUUCAUCUUGACCUAGAAAACCCACAAAAACUUAGUCAUAACACAUUCGGGGUUAAGCAGAGGGGUCAGCCUGGCAGGACACAGCCCAACAUGACCACAAAAGUUUGGAGGACAACUCUGGGGCCAAGACAUGGGGGCAGGGGGAUACUUAUGGUUGCUGUUCCUACCCCUUGGUACUGGGAGGGUGGAGGAACUGGGGGAGGGUGGAGGAACUGGGGUAGUAGGAGCUAACCACAUGGCAAGAAAAGCUCAGUGAAGCAGGAAGGAGGCUGGACAGGGCACCAGGCCUAGCCUGAGGGGUCAGUAGGGCUCAGGGUGGAAACCAGGUUCCAGGAGCUUCUUCUGAGAUGCAACAAAGGUUGCAUGUGACUGAUUCUCUGGGAACCUGUUUGAUAUGCAACAGGCUCCUUUGCUCUUGAGUCCCACGGGCUCCUACCACAGCGCUCUGUAAGCUGUGGGGUUUGCCUGCAUCUCACAGCCACACCAACAGACCCUGAUAUAACCUGCUCAAUGCUCCCUCAUGGAGGCCUGCCUAGGGGAAGACAAGACAGAGCCAGGCCAAGGCAAGGACCAGGGCAGAGAGGUUGGGCCCAAGACGGCUGGACACUGGCUCAGAGGACCUGCCUCUGAGGAGUCUUGGAGAGCCUGACCCUGUGUGACCCCUCUCCCUACCCCCAAGUCUCCUUUCCUUCAAAGACUUGUGAGGUUUCAGGGGCGGCAGCCUGCCGGCAGGUUUAAACCUAAGAAUGUGAGGUCUUGAGGUGAUGGAGCUGGAGCACUCACUGGGCUGGGGUCAACCUUCUGGGUCACCACACGUGGCCACAGCCUCAGAUUCCAGGGUCUGGACCCACAAGGGCUCAUGUCCCAGCAGAGCUGCAGCGUGGGGCAGCCCCACCCCAUCCGGGUCCCCGACUGCUCAGGGGACAGACAGGCUGCACCUCUACCCUGCAGCCCCUCACAGGGACCAGGCCUGAAGCCAGGGCCCUGCAGCUGUGUGACAACACGUGUGCAUCACGCUGAGAUGAAACCCGCUUCAGGCCAGCUAUGUUCAUGUUUCUAAAAAGAAACCUUUAUUAGGGAGUCUCUCUGGACUCUGUCUUAUCAAAACCUCCUGAACCACGACCUGGAGGCUGAGGCCUCGGACCUGCACAGUGCCGUGCAGAGUUUAAAACGUACCUCCAAGCCGCAAUUUCUAGUCUUUUCCCCUCCAAUAAAUGCACCGUUAACUUCCCUGGAGAUGAGACCCCGGGUGGAGAUGCCCCAGGUGGAAGGCCACAAGAAGCCAACCGGGCCCCCAGCCCAUUUGUCUGCCUCAGUGCCCCUACCGGGUGGGCUGUGGCACCCUGGGAAGGGGUCUCAGAAGAGCGCCACACACAGCUUCAGGUGGUGUCAAGUCCUCCACCCCAUGAGGGGAGCACAGGCAGGCACAUGGACACUGGAUCCCACAGAAGCAAGUGGCCAAUCCGCCUCCUCUGAACCUGUUGCUGUGGUCACCUUCCGUCAGGGCAGUGGGGCUGGAGAGGCUCGGAUGGCGCUGACUUUAGGGAGGGCAGGACACAGGAGCUAAGCCGGGACCACAAUCUGAGUGAACAAGCAUAGCCAGGGAACCGGCACUCUGCACCUUGCCCCCCAGCUCCCUGAGGACUCCCCUCCUCCUGAGGGUCGGCCUCGUGCAGGGAGCCAGGCAGGCUUCACCUUCCGAGCUGGCAGGCUAAGUGUGGGGUGAAGGGGCGAGCUCUCUGCGCCUCAGCCUCCUCUGGGGAGUGGAGACCCCAGCCACACUAGCCCCUCAGCGCUGUCAGGAGAAGCCGCCGCAGGCAGAGGCGGAGCUGGCGGGAGCCUGCGGGGAUUGCAGAUUGCCGUCUGCAGCCUCAAUGUUUUCUCUUCCCCGGAGGUGGGAACUGAGGCUCAGAGCCCAGCCACUGGUUCUAAAGCCAACAGCCACCUCCCACAAGGCCUCCUGUCCACGGGCCCGCUCCCAGGAAGCCUGAGCUGAACUGAGGCCUGGGGUGGGGGAUCUCUCGGCAGCGGGGGUGCAGCGGUUCUCUACGAAGCCUCGUUUGGGUGGAAACCUCGGAAAUGUCUCCGGACCACCUCCGCCCUCCAGCACCUCCCGUUCUGGUGGUACCACAGGGAAGACACGCGUGAACCGGCAGCACCCUGCCGGCCUCCCCCGUCCUUUCUGCAGCCAGACCGCUUGAGGCUGGAGGGGUGAGCUGUGGCCGACAAGCGGCAGAUCUCGUCACCAGGUGCAGGAGGAACCCCAGUGCCCGCGCCGAGCUCCUCCAGAGUGGAGGCCUCUGCGGAGGAGGGGGCUUGUGUGCGCGGAAGGGCCCAACCACCCGCCG
ensembl:lncRNA